UGCAAGGUGGUGGAAAGGCAGCAGUUAGAAACAGACAGAUUUUGUUAUCCCAGACAAACUUGUAAAGUCAAGGUCCAGUUUAAUGAUUAGCUUAAGCUUUUUUAAGACCACGCUUCUGUGGAAAGGGUAGUCCUACUUUCCCACUGUCACCGCAUGCAUAUUUCUGCUACCAACAUGUCUGAUAUUCAGGACAGAUAGAGAGUCAGGUCAGCUUACAGAUUCAGCUAAAUGCUAACCUAUUUUCUUUUUGGUUUCUGGGUUGUUUGGGUUUUUUGUUUGGUUUUUGUUUGUUUGUUUGGUUUUUGGUGAGCUGAUUUUCAAGCAUCUGUGCAAGCAGAUCCAACAGCCCUGAGACUGCAUAACUGCCAGUGCUAACAAGAAAGACAUGGGAGAAAGCUGACUGGGCAAGAAUGUUUCCUGCUAGUUUAUCACUUUUUGCACCAGAAGUAUGGUUUUGGCAUUUUUCCUUUCAUCUUCAAUGGAAGUGAAGAACAAGCUUGAUUGAGGUGUUGCCAGCUCUCACAAUUUCAUCACAAGUCUCACUACUUAUGUUUUUCCUUAAAGCCUCAAGAUUCUGGCUGACAGAAAGCUAAAAGUUUUCUAUUUCAAAAGAAUCUCCCCUAGCAUUAAAAGCAAAGGUUCUGACUUUUUUACUUGCAGACGAAGUAUGAAGAAUGUGAGGCAAUUAUAAUUUCAGAGCUUAAACCUCCCAAGUCAGAUGUGAACAACCCACCUUUCUUUUUCUUCUUCAUGACUUUUACACCCUUUCAAGACUAUGGGGAUUAUAUUCUUGUCUUCUUUAGCCUUGCGGUUGGCAGCACUGCAAAUGUAGCGGGAAAAAACAUAAGCAUUUUUUAUCAGUUUUCAGGGUGACCCAUCAAAUUGAAAAAAGUAGGACUGGGAUUUGCAGAGCUGCCUCCAAGAUUUGGACAGCUAAUAAAAAUGAAAGGAAAUGGUGCAGAUGAAUGAAAUUGCUUUUGUGUCAAGGAAAGUGUGAUGUUUAAGUAAUACCUAAGUUGUUGAUACUUUUAGUUUAUUUCAGCUUAAUAUUAUUUUAACUCUAUGUCAUUGAGGUUAGCAACCUGUACAUACUACAAAGGAGUUUUUUGAAACUACCAGCUUUCCAAAAGUUAAAUCUUGCUGUUUGCUCUGUCAAAGAUACUUCAUCUGAUAGUAAAAUUUCUGUAUUCGGUGAAUCAUCUAGGAAUAUAAAAUGUGACUGUGUAGAUAAAUAAGAGAAAAUCCUACUAUUGAAAUGUUAAUAUUGGGGAAAAAAUUCCUCAGAAAUUAUUUUAUCACAUUAUGAUGUUAGCAGAGACAAUGUAGAGUACACAUUCUCUUUAGCAUUCAUGGUUUAAAAUCUGGAUUGUACACAAAACAGGUCUGAGCCCAAGCCAGAAGUGAAAAGCUGGUGUUUUGAAUGUUCUGCACUGUUAUUUCCCCCAUCAAUUUGAUCUGUUUAUAGAUAGACACAUGGCCUGGCAAAGAAUAAAAGUUUGUUUAUUUCCUGUC